GUGAACGCUGGCGGUAGGCCUAACACAUGCAAGUCGAACGGCAGCACAGUAAGAGCUUGCUCUUACGGGUGGCGAGUGGCGGACAAGUGAGGAAUACAUCGGAAUCUACUUUUUCGUGGGGGAUAACGUAGGGAAACUUACGCUAAUACCGCAUACGACCUACGGGUGAAAGCAGGGGAUCUUCGGACCUUGCGCGAUUGAAUGAGCCGAUGUCGGAUUAGCUAGUUGGCGGGGUAAAGGCCCACCAAGGCGACGAUCCGUAGCUGGUCUGAGAGGAUGAUCAGCCACACUGGAACUGAGACACGGUCCAGACUCCUACGGGAGGCAGCAGUGGGGAAUAUUGGACAAUGGGCGAAAGCCUGAUCCAGCCAUACCGCGUGGGUGAAGAAGGCCUUCGGGUUGUAAAGCCCUUUUGUUGGGAAAGAAAAGCAGCAGGUUAAUACCCCGCUGUUCUGACGGUACCCAAAGAAUAAGCACCGGCUAACUUCGUG
rnacentral:rRNA from 1 species